rfam:Otolemur garnettii contig053618, whole genome shotgun sequence.
GCUGGGCGCAGUGGUAUGUGCCUGUAAUCCCAGCUACUCAGGAGGCUGAGACAGGAAAAUCGCUUGAGUCCAGGAGUUCUGGGCUGUAGUGCGCAAGGCCAAUCAGGUGUCUGCACUAAGUUCGGCAUCAAUAUGGUGACCUCCUGGGAGCAGGGUGCCACCAGGUUGCCUAAGGAGGAGUGAACCAGUCCGGGUCAGAAAUGGAGCAGGUCAAAGCUCCCAUGCUGAUCAGUAGUGGGAUGUUACUGUGAAUAGCCACUGCAUUCCAGCCUGGGCAACAUAGUAAGACCCCAUCUCUU